UGCAUUCACUACUGUAAGUCGCUUUGGAUAAGAGCGUCUGCUAAAUGACUCAAA
rfam:Salmo salar isolate Sally breed double haploid chromosome ssa12, whole genome shotgun sequence.